GACGAACGCUGGCGGCGUGCUUAACACAUGCAAGUCGAACGGAAAGGCCCUGCUUUUGUGGGGUGCUCGAGUGGCGAACGGGUGAGUAACACGUGAGUAACCUGCCCUUGACUUUGGGAUAACUUCAGGAAACUGGGGCUAAUACCGGAUAGGAGCUCCUGCUGCAUGGUGGGGGUUGGAAAGUUUCGGCGGGUGGGGAUGGACUCGCGGCUUAUCAGCUUGUCGGUGGGGUAGUGGCUUACCAAGGCUUUGACGGGUAGCCGGCCUGAGAGGGUGACCGGCCACAUUGGGACUGAGAUACGGCCCAGACUCCUACGGGAGGCAGAAGUGGGGAAUAUUGCACAAUGGGCGGAAGCCUGAUGCAGCAACGCCGCGUGCGGGAUGACGGCCUUCGGGUUGUAAACCGCUUUCGCCUGUGACGAAGCGUGAGUGACGGUAAUGGGUAAAGAAGCACCGGCUAACUACGUG
rnacentral:rRNA from 1 species